UUCAUAAGGAGAUUUUGUUUUUUCAUAUUUUUUUAUUUUUAUUCUUUUUAUUCAGCUCAAAUCCUAAUGUCAAUGACAACCUGCCGCCAAUGGAUACAUGUUAUCAAACAUAUGAGGUGGGAAGCUCAUCUUCAUCUACGUUGCUAGGGAUUCCUUCAAUGGAUGUACAGCGUCUUCUAUCUUCACCAACUAUUGAUCAAAGGUACCUAUGUUGUAUGAUGUUGGUUUUGCAGUAUGUGAUUCGUAUUUUCUAUAUGUCCUUUUUUUUUUUUUUUCUUAUGUUCUUUGUAAUGUCAGUUUCAAUGCAGAUAUGGUCAAUAUGCUUGAAGAUGUAUUCCCUGAAUGUAUAGAUGAAUGUAGAAUACCCGAUCCAUCUGAUUUUAUUUCUCCUGUACCUCCUCGUCGUCAUUUUCUUGGUCGAAUGGAUGUGAU
rnacentral:lncRNA from 1 species